rnacentral:rRNA from 1 species
GUGAGUAACACGUGGGCAAUCUGCCCUGCACUCUGGGACAAGCCCUGGAAACGGGGUCUAAUACCGGAUACUGACCCUCACGGGCAUCUGUGAGGUUCGAAAGCUCCGGCGGUGCAGGAUGAGCCCGCGGCCUAUCAUCUUGUUGGUGAGGUAAUGGCUCACCAAGGCGACGACGGGUAGCCGGCCUGAGAGGGCGACCGGCCACACUGGGACUGAGACACGGCCCACACUCCUACGGGAGGCAGCAGUGGGGAAUAUUGCACAAUGGGCGAAAGCCUGAUGCAGCGACGCCGCGUGAGGGAUGACGGCCUUCGGGUUGUAAACCUCUUUCAGCAGGGAAGAAGCGAAAGUGACGGUACCUGCAGAAGAAGCGCCGGCUAACUACGUGCCAGCAGCCGCGGUAAUACGUAGGGCGCGAGCGUUGUCCGGAAUUAUUGGGCGUAAAGAGCUCGUAGGCGGCUUGUCACGUCGGUUGUGAAAGCCCGGGGCUUACCCCGGGUCUGCAGUCGAUACGGGCAGGCUAGAGUUCGGUAGGGGAGAUCGGAAUUCCUGGUGUAGCGGUGAAAUGCGCAGAUAUCAGGAGGAACACCGGUGGCGAAGGCGGAUCUCUGGGCCGAUACUGACGCUGAGGAGCGAAAGCGUGGGGAGCGAACAGGAUUAGAUACCCUGGUAGUCCACGCCGUAAACGGUGGGCACUAGGUGUGGGCAACAUUCCACGUUGUCCGUGCCGCAGCUAACGCAUUAAGUGCCCCGCCUGGGGAGUACGGCCGCAAGGGCAUAAACUCAAGGAAUUGACGGGGGCCCGCACAAGCGGCGGAGCAUGUGGCUUAAUUCGACGCAACGCGAAGAACCUUACCAAGGCUUGACAUACACCGGAAACCAUUAGAGAUAGUGCCCCUCUUGUGGUCGGUGUACAGGUGGUGCAUGGCUGUCGUCAGCUCGUGUCGUGAGAUGUUGGGUUAAGUCCCGCAACGAGCAGCACCUUUGUCUCGUGUUGCCAGCAAGCCCUUGUGGUGCUGAGGACUCACGGAAGAACGCCGGGGUCAACUCGAAGGAAGGUGGGACGACGUCAAUCAUCAUGCCCUUAUGUCUGGGCUGCACCGUGCUACAUGGGCGGUACAUGACUGCGAUCCGCGAGUGGACGAUCUCAAAAGCGGCUCCAGUCGAUUGGGCUGCACUCGCCCAUGAGUCGGAUCCUAGAAUCCAAAUACCUUGGUGGGUGAUACUUCCGGGCUGACACCGCCGUCAAUCA